rnacentral:lncRNA from 1 species
CUCCUUUGAUUCUGGGAUGGAGGCAGGAAUUUGGUUAACACAAACAUAUACUUGUUUGGUAGACAUCAAUAGGACAUACAUGAUUGUUUAGGAAAAAUACUUACCUUUCCUUUUCUUCCUUUUCUGUAGCUUCCAUUUCCCACCAGCUCUUGCACUUGCCUGCUAUUUCCUGAACGCCAGUGUGACUAAUGAGUGCCAGAGGCAGCAGAUGGGAAGACUUCUCAACACCAACAUAAUUUGGACUCACCGGAGAAUCCACAGGCUUCACUUUGGAGAUGAAUGGACUCAGACAACCAUAUAUGGGAAGAGAGCAAGCACUGCUCCAAGUAAACAGAUGGAAUUGUUCCCUGAGUAUUUUUCCAAAAAGAAAAGAUGCAGGGGUAGGAGCCAGAAGAGAAUAAGCACAGACAGAAGCACAAAGUUCAAUGGACUCAAGCUGAGCAGGGGGGGGAGACAGGCGGGUGAGCAGAUUCACACCACCCUCGUCCCUGCUUUCUCCGCACUCCAGCGGCAUCAUUGUCCGGCAUCAUUAUCCACAGAACUUCAAAAAAUUGCAGACUCCUGGGCCCCACGGUGAACCCAGGCUCGGUGAACCUGAGAAAGUCAUUUCUUGUUCAUGCAACAUUGAGUGACCAGAGCGCACUGGAGCUUGGGGAAGCCACUGCAUUUUUGGAAUAUGACAAAGAAUGCUGUCUCAUUAUGUUGUGAGGGUGAAUCUACUUGCUGCAUAAUGUGUGGCAGGUGAAUGAUUGUUUGCAGUGUCUUCAUCUUUAAAACUCAGGUACCUAGUGCUCGCUCCUAUGACAAAGGAAAGGGAGAUAAAGCAAUUGGAGCAUCUUGGUAGGAAUAAACAAUACAGAUACAACAGGAGCUCUACAUUUUACUUAUGUAAACCAAAAAUAUAGGCUAUGUUUUGCCUGCUUUUACUGGUUUCCAGAACUCUGUACCUAAGAGGAGGUGGUGGAGACUUGGCAGGGGUGGGGCGGUGUGGUAUUUCUUCUCACAAAGUAGAGUAUCCACAGGAUCCCUGCCUCAGUUCUCAGUGUAUGGGAGGGGGGUUGUUAAAAAUACAGGUUCUCAGGCCCCACUCUACACCUGUGGUAUCAUAAUCUCUGAGUUAUGGGGUCUGGGUAUUUGAUUUUUAACAAGUUCCCCAGAAGAGUCUUACGCA